CCUACGGGUGGCAGCAGUGAGGAAUAUUGGUCAAUGGACGAGAGUCUGAACCAGCCAAGUAGCGUGAAGGAUGACUGCCCUAUGGGUUGUAAACUUCUUUUAUAUGGGAAUAAAAUGUUCCACGUGUGGGAUUUUGUAUGUACCAUAUGAAUAAGGAUCGGCUAACUCCGUGCCAGCAGCCGCGGUAAUACGGAGGAUCCGAGCGUUAUCCGGAUUUAUUGGGUUUAAAGGGAGCGUAGGUGGAUUGUUAAGUCAGUUGUGAAAGUUUGCGGCUCAACCGUAAAAUUGCAGUUGAAACUGGCAGUCUUGAGAACAGUAGAGGUGGGCGGAAUGCGUGGUGGAGCGGUGAAAUGCUUAGAUAUCACGAAGAACUCCGAUUGCGAAGGCAGUUCACUGGACUGCAACUGACACUGAGGCUCGAAAGUGUGGGUAUCAAACAGGAUUAGAUACCCGGGUAGUC
rnacentral:rRNA from 1 species